rnacentral:rRNA from 1 species
AGCUCCAAUAGCGUAUAUUAAAGUUGUUGCGGUAAAAAGCUCGUAGUUGGACUUCUGUUGAGAAAGACCGGUCUACUCCAUGAGUACGCAUCUGGUUCUGUCUCGGCAUCCUCUCGAUGAUCGUUUCUGCGCUUCGUUGCGUGGGGCGAGUCUCGGGACUUUUACUUUGAGGAAAUUAGAGUGUUCACGGCAGGCUAUCGCCAGAAUACAUUAGCAUGGAAUAAUACUAUAGGAUCUUGAUUCUAUUUUGUUGGUUUCUAGAAUUAAGAUAAUGAUUAAUAGGGACAAUUGGGGGGCAUUCGUAUCAACACGUCAGAGGUGGAAUUCUUGGAUUGUGUUGCGACGAACUACUGCGAAAGCAUUGCCAAGG